rnacentral:telomerase_RNA from 1 species
GUGGGGACCCAAUCGUGCGUUGAGCUAACGCUCGACUGUACCGAACCUAACCUAACGAUUAGGGAGGAAGAAAGGUUUUUUUGCUCUCUUUUUUUAACCUGAAAAAUAAAGAGUUAUACGUCCCCACCAACAGUAAUAAAAUUAUACACAAUUAAUUAACCAGGUUAAUCACAGUAU